UUUUUGUAAGUGAUACAUAUUUUGCGACCAGUCUUAACCGAGUUGGGUCAUUUUACAUCGGUAUUUCUCUAUUUGUUUUUAUUUGUUUUACGGUUUUAAGUGAAGACAAACUCAUAUAUUUUUUUUGUAUAUAAUACUGGAUUUGUUGUCCUUUAAUCUCAGUAUUUCUAUACUACAUUAUGAUAUUGCCACUCCAACGAGUCAGUAUGUGCUAAAUUAUUUUUGCGGGCAGUGUAAAGAUAGAAUUGCUAGGUCGUUCAUUCAGUAUUUGUUUAGAGAUACGUAAAACAUGCCGGAUGUAUUGGAUAUUGAGAUAGGGAAGGACGGUUUGGAGGUCGAGGCGAGUGGCACGGUCUUGGUUGUCGUCGCCGGGUUAACGUUUAUAGCAGGAUUAGCUAUCGGUGGUGUGAUAGGAUUUAAGAUGGGCAAACAAGUAGGCAAACGGGAAUAACAUGGAUUCUGGUACUGUCAAAACCAGUACCAUCUGGCGUGCAGAAAACACAAAACUUACAUAGAAGAACAUUGUUCAAAAUAGAAUUUCAACGAUCAUUAUGGAGGAUUUAUAGAGAAACAUUUAGCGACGACAGUAGAAGUUGUGGCAUUCACACAGGACGGUUGAUUUGAUGUUAAUUGACAAAAAUGUGAUAGUGAUCUUUAAAUUUCCAACUAAGUGCACAUAAAUACUUUGACAUAAAAAACUGUGAUACUGUAUCAUUUUGUGCCGUUUAUACGCAUUUUUUGUGAAAAAUUACAUUUGUCUAAACUCUUUUACCAUUAUUUGGUGGCUUAUUUCUUGUUCAGUAAUGAACACGGUAUGCUGUAAUUGUGAUAUUCCGGCUAGAUGUUAUUUAUUUCUUCAUUCCUUGUUUAAUUAUAGGUCAGUUAGCCAUAAUUUAUCACAUGUGUAUGUGCGUACUAGAGCAUACACUCUAUCUCAAAAUAUUUCAGCUAAUAAUAGCCUCUCUAUUAUUUCAGUAUAGUAAUACUAUUUAUAUGGCCGUUUCAUAGAAGUCUUUUAAAGUCCACAUUAUAUUAUUGUUUUGAAAAUGAAGAAAAAGAGGAAUUAAAAUGAUAUUUGUA